GCUCUUGGACUCACUGAGGCAGUAAAAGAACCAUAUCCUGUGUUUGAAUCAAACCCCGAGUUCCUGUAUGUUUAGAAGGUUUGCCAGACAGGAUUCCCUUUUGAAGCCCUCCUGGUUUGGAAUUCCAUGACUUAAAAGGAUCGUCCGUGGGAGUAAUAACAUCAAGUCUGUUGGUAAAAAGCCUGAACUAGUUAUUUCCUAGUUACCUCCUGGAGUGGCUAAUAAAAUAAACACUAAAAAAAGACCACGAAGCCCUGAGAGUAAUGAAAAGGUUCCUGAAAUUGAGGUCACUGUGGAAGGU
rnacentral:lncRNA from 1 species